rnacentral:rRNA from 1 species
AUCCAGCCCUGCCGCGUGUGUGAAGAAGGCCUUAGGGUUGUAAAGCUCUUUCAUCUGUGAGGAUGAUGACAGCUAUUAAUACAUGAUGCACCGUGNUANCUUCCUGCCAGCAGCCGCCGGUCUUACUACGGGUGCGAGCGCUCUUCGAUAAUUACUGGUNGUAANGGGCGUGUAAGCUGAUGGCNGAUANACGUGAAAGGCCUGGGCUCAACCUGAUAACUGCCUUUAGGACUUGCACUCUANACAGCGUUAGAGGAUGGCGGACUUCCUAGUGUAGAGGUGAAAUUCGUAUANCUUAGUAAGAACACCAGUGCGCGAAGGCUGCUAUCUGAGCUCGAUNCUGACGCUGACNNACUGAAGCGUGACUAGCACACGAGGAUUAGAUACCCUGGUAGUCCACGCCGAUAACAUAUGUNAACUAGUCGCCCCGAUGCUUGCNUCUUGUUGACGUAGCUAACGUAUUAUGUUCACCGCGCUGCGU